UUGGGCCUACGGGACGCAGCAGUGAGGAAUAUUGGUCAAUGGGAGAGAUCCUGAACCAGCCAAGCCGCGUGAGGGAAGACGGCCCUAUGGGUUGUAAACCUCUUUUGUCGGAGAACAAAACCCGGGACGUGUCCCGGACUGCGUGUAUCCGAAGAAAAAGCAUCGGCUAACUCCGUGCCAGCAGCCGCGGUAAUACGUAGGUGGCGAGCGUUAUCCGGAAUGAUUGGGCGUAAAGGGUGCGUAGGCGGCCUGCUAAGUCUGGAGUGAAAGGUACCGGCUCAACCGGUACAGGCUCUGGAAACUGG
rnacentral:rRNA from 1 species